GACAGAGGAUGCAAGCGUUAUCCGGAAUGAUUGGGCGUAAAGCGUCUGUAGGUGGCUUUUCAAGUCCGCCGUCAAAUCCCAGGGCUCAACCCUGGACAGGCGGUGGAAACUACCAAGCUGGAGUACGGUAGGGGCAGGAGGCUCGUAGAGCCGGUGGAGCGGUGAAAUGCGUAGAGAUCGGAAAGAACACCAAUGGCGAAAGCACUCUGCUGGGCCGACACUGACACUGAGAGACGAAAGCUAGGGGAGCAAAUGGG
rnacentral:rRNA from 1 species